UUUAUUGAGGAUUUGAUCCUGGUCCAGGAUGAACGCUGGCGGCGUGGAUAAGGCAUGCAAGUCGUGCGAUGCAACAGCCAACUACCAGCUUCCAACUACCAACACUAUGACAUUUAGAUUUCGUAAUUUUAAAGUUUAUCAAGAUGCCAUCAUUGCGUAUAAGUUCAUCAUCUUGAUAACCAAGAAUUUUCCAAGAGAUUUUGAGCACUUGAAAGCUCAAAUAAGACGAGCGGCACUCUCUGUGAUUUUAAACAUUGCAGAGGGUUCUGCCAAAAAUUCAGAUAAGGAUUUUAACCGUUAUCUUGGAAAUUCCCUCGGUUCUGUUAAUGAGGUGGCGGCAUGUUUGGAAGUGGCUUUUCAAUUAAAUCUUAUUUCAAAGGAAGAUUAUAUUAAGGGUAACUCUAUGUAUGAGUUACUUGCCAACCAAUUAGGAGGUUUUUCUAAAAAACUUAAGUCCUAGUUGGACGUUGGUGGUUGGCAGUUGGUUGUUGCAUAGCGGCGAACGAGUUAGUAAUACCUUGGAAUCUACCCCGAAGACGGGAAUAAUCCGCCGAAAGGCGGACUAAUACCCGAUAGUCCCAAAUCCGCAAGGAUUUGGGUAAAGGCGCAAGACACUUCGGGAGGAGCCUCGGUCCUAUCAGCUAGUUGGCGGGGUAAUGGCCCACCAAGGCGAUGACGGGUAGGGGGCGUGAGAGCGCGUUCCCCAACGACACUACUGAGAUACGGAGUGUACACCUACGGGUGGCCGCAGUCGAGAAUAUUCGACAAUGGGCGAAAGCCUGAUCGAGCGACGCCGCGUGCAGGAUGAAGGCCUUCGGGUCGUAAACUGCUUUUAACUGGGAACAAUCGAGCACCUUUCGGUUUUUGUAUUUUUGUGAUACUCAAAUAUUAUGUAUUACGUCUAUGUUAUAUUGGGACAAAAUAACAAGAUUUAUGUUGGAUAUACUUCUGAUCUUCGGGAACGAAUGAGAAGUCAUAAUGCUGUAGAAAAUGAGUAUAAGAUUAUUUCAUAGUUUGCAAGAGAUACGAAAUUCGAAAGGUGCUCGAUGAGCGUACCAGUAGAAUAAGGAGCUGCAAACUUCGUGCCAGCAGCCGCGGUAAUACGAAGGCUCCAAGCGUUAUCCGGAUUUAUUGGGCGUAAAGGGUCUCCAGGCGGUUUUGUUAGUCCGCUGUUAAAUCUCGACGCUUAACGUCGAGGCCGCAGUGGAAACGGCAAAACUAGAGGCGGGUAGAGGCAUAUGGAACUCACGGUGUAGGGGUGAAAUCCGUUGAUAUCGUGGGGAACACCAAAGGCGAAGGCAAUAUGCUGGGCCUGUCCUGACGCUCAUGAGACGAAAGCGUGGGGAGCGAAUAGGAUUGACAGAAUGCUCGCAAUUGUGCCAAAGAUUUUUCCAGCUGCGGUUUGGACAAAACUUCCUCG
rnacentral:ncRNA from 1 species